AUAUGGAAAAUAUUACUAAAUGCAGGAUUUAGUGUUUUUGUAAGCAUGCCUAUUGCACUAGUUUUACUAGAAGCAUUAUCCAUAGAAAUUGCCAUUAUUUUAUCGGUAAAGCAAAAAUAUCUACAAAUAUCUGAAACGGUGUUAGCUAUAAACCUACCCGUGUGAUGUGAAUUAAUUAUUCUAUAUGCAAUUAUACGUUUU
rnacentral:lncRNA from 1 species